rnacentral:rRNA from 1 species
CGGCAACAGCUCAAAUUUGAAAUCUGGCGCAAGCCCGAGUUGUAAUUUGCAGAGGAUGCUUUUGGUGCGGUGCCUUCUGAGUUCCCUGGAACGGGACGCCGGAGAGGGUGAGAGCCCCGUACAGUUGGACACCAAGCCUUUGUAAAGCUCCUUCGACGAGUCGAGUAGUUUGGGAAUGCUGCUCAAAAUGGGAGGUAAAUGCCUUCUAAAGCUAAAUACCGGCCAGAGACCGAUAGCGCACAAGUAGAGUGAUCGAAAGAUGAAAAGCACUUUGAAAAGAGGGUUAAAAAGUACGUGAAAUUGUUGAAAGGGAAGGGCUCGUGACCAGACUUGCGCCCGUCGGAUCAUCCGGCCUUCUGGCCGGUGCACUCCGGCGGGCUCAGGCCAGCAUCGGUUCUUCUGGGGGGACAAAAUCGGCGGGAACGUAGCUCCUCCGGGAGUGUUAUAGCCCGCCGCAGAAUACCCCCGGGGGGACCGAGGACCGCGCUUCGGCAAGGAUGCUGGCGUAAUGGUCACCAGCCACCCGUCUUGAAAC